CAAUAGCAUAUAUUAACGUUGUUGCAGUUGAAAAGCUCGUAGUUGAACUUUUGGUAGGAGCGACCUGACCUUGGGCGCAUGCCCUUGUUUGCCGUGUGUCGUAUCUGGCCAUCCUUUUCCGUUUCGGCGGGAAUCCUUUACUGUGAGUAAACUGGAGUGCUCAAAACAAGACGUUUGUUUGGUACAUUAAAGCAUGGAAUAAUAAGAUAGGACCUGGUUACUAUUUUGUUGGUUUGCAUAGCUAGGUAAUGAUUAACAGGGACAGUUGGGGGUAUUCGUAUUUAAUUGUCAGAGGUGAAAUUCUUGGAUUUAUGAAAGACGAACGACUGCGAAAGCAUUUACCAAGGAUGGUUUCAUUAA
rnacentral:rRNA from 1 species